rnacentral:rRNA from 1 species
AUNGAGCAAUCAUUGGGUUUAGAUCUGCCCUUAUCGCAAGAUGAGGGCUUCCAUAUACACCGUGAACUGUGGCUUCGGCCAUCACAAACUGUUAGUAAUGAAUGUAAUAUCAUAACAAAAACAAAACUUUUAACAACGGAUCUCUUGGCUCUCGCAUCGAUGAAGAACGCAGCGAAAUGCGAUAAGUAAUGUGAAUUGCAGAAUUCAGUGAAUCAUCGAAUCUUUGAACGCACCUUGCGCCCUUUGGUAUUCCGAAGGGCAUGCCUGUUUGAGUGUCAUGAAACCUCACCCCACUUAGGUUUUUGCCUAAGCGGUGGUGUAUUGGGUGUUUGCCUUGCUAAAGGCUCGCCUUAAAGAUAUAAGCACCUUGGAUGUAAUACGUUUCAUCCUUCUGGGUGGCUGAUAACCCCACAUAUUCAUGAUCUGGCCUCAAAUCAGGUAGGGCUACCCGCUGAACUUAAGCAUAUCAAUAAGCGGAGGAAGA